rnacentral:rRNA from 1 species
AUUGAACGCUGGCGGCAGGCUUAACACCUGCAAGUCGAGCGAGCGGCGGACGGGUGAGUAAUGUCUGUGAAACUGCCUGAUGGAGGGGGAUCCAUACUGGAAACGGUAGCUAAUACCGCAUACCAUCAGAUGUGCCCAGAUGGGAUUAGCGAGUAGGUGGGGUAAUGGCUAACCUAGUCGACGAUCCCAAGAUGGUCUGAGAGGAUGACCAGCCACACUGGAACGUCGACACUGUCCAGACUCGUACGGGAGGCAGCAGGGGGAAUUAUUGCACAAUUGGCACUAGCCUGAUGCAGCCAUGCCGCGUGUGUGUAGAAGGCCUUCGGGUUGUAGAGCACUUUCAGCUAGGAGGCGUUACUCGCCGAAGAAGCACCGGCUAACUCCGUGCCAGCAGCCGCGGUAAUAC